rnacentral:lncRNA from 1 species
UAUUCUUUUUACAGAUAUACCGUGAUCUACAGAUACGGUACGCGCUAGGAGAGAUAGAUUGUUACAUUUCAAGUUCAAGUCUCUAAUUUAUGGUUGAUUAAGAUAAUCUAUACUCUAGACGGAUGAGCCAUAGUCCAAAGAUAUGGUUCGUACCUAUCCGAGGUAAAUUAUGCUGCUUCUUAAUUACAAAUCUCAUCAUUACGAUAUAAAAAUAAAAGAAAAUAGAAUCUGUUUUACAUAGUGGAUUUUGAAUUUUUGAGGUUUCUUUCCUAUUCAAUUUUCUUUCAUGAAUUAAACUUAAAAUUAUUAUUUUCUUAGUAAUUAAUUAAAAUCAAUCUUCUCUUUCUUUUAUUAAUUAUAAAUAAUUGUCCGAGAUUUCUGUGAAACGAUCCUGAUUCACCCUAGCUACGUAGUAAGUUAGAAUUAGGUUUAUUUUUGGUGAUGACACGCAUCACCGGUCAUCCAAAUAGAGGGGGUGGAGAAAGAGGCACUCUCAUGCCCAACAGUCGGUGGUGAUCGCCACCCUCGUUCCACUCCAAAAUGGGAGCCCGACCUAGUCAAGAGGCAGGCAGGGCGCCAGCAGCGACGGAUGAAGGCCGCAUUCGGAUUGCUUCAGUAGGGCACUAAGGACCCCAUGAAGGAGGUCCCUAGCAGGGAACAACUAUACAGUCCAGUGGCCAUCCUUCUUGGAAGUAUAUGCUUUGUGGAUACCCCACCAG